UUUAUGGAGAGUUUGAUCCUGGCUCAGGACGAACGCUGGCGGCGUGCCUAACACAUGCAAGUCGAACGGGGAAUUAUCGGAGAAAUUUUCGGAUGGAUCUGAUAAUAUCCUAGUGGCGGACGGGUGAGUAACGCGUGGAUAACCUGCCUAUCAGACUGGGAUAACACCGGGAAACCGGUGCUAAUACCGGAUACAAACUAUCGGAUGCAUGUCUGGUAGUUGAAAAGUUAUUCGCUGAUAGAUGGAUCCGCGUCCCAUUAGCUAGUUGGUGGGGUAAAGGCCUACCAAGGCAACGAUGGGUAGCCGGCCUGAGAGGGUGAACGGCCACACUGGGACUGAGACACGGCCCAGACUCCUACGGGAGGCAGCAGUGGGGAAUAUUCCGCAAUGGGGGAAACCCUGACGGAGCGACGCCGCGUGAGGGAAGAAGGUUUUCGGAUUGUAAACCUCUGUUCUAUGGGAAGAUAAUGACGGUACCAUAGGAGAAAGCCCCGGCUAACUACGUGCCAGCAGCCGCGGUAACACGUAGGGGGCAAGCGUUGUCCGGAAUUACUGGGCGUAAAGGGCGCGUAGGCGGCCUAUUAAGUUAGAGGUGAAAGGCCAGGGCUCAACCCUGGAGUUGCCUCUAAAACUGGCAGGCUUGAGUUCAGGAGAGGAAAGUGGAAUUCCUAGUGUAGCGGUGAAAUGCGUAGAUAUUAGGAGGAACACUAGUGGCGAAGGCGGCUUUCUGGCCUGAAACUGACGCUGAGGCGCGAAAGCGUGGGUAGCAAACAGGAUUAGAUACCCUGGUAGUCCACGCCGUAAACGAUGAGUGCUAAGUGUUGGAGGUAUCGACCCCUUCAGUGCUGCAGUUAACGCAAUAAGCACUCCGCCUGGGGAGUACGGUCGCAAGACUGAAACUCAAAGGAAUUGACGGGGGCCCGCACAAGCGGUGGAGCAUGUGGUUUAAUUCGACGCAACGCGAAGAACCUUACCAGGGCUUGACAUCCUCUGAAAAACCUAGAGAUAGGAAUUUCUCUUCGGAGACAGAGAGACAGGUGGUGCAUGGUUGUCGUCAGCUCGUGUCGUGAGAUGUUGGGUUAAGUCCCGCAACGAGCGCAACCCUUACCGCUAGUUGCCAACACGUGAUGGUGGGAACUCUAGCGGAACUGCCGUUGACAAAACGGAGGAAGGUGGGGAUGACGUCAAAUCAUCAUGCCCCUUAUGUCCUGGGCAACACACGUGCUACAAUGGUCGGUGCAGAGGGAAGCGAAGCCGCAAGGUGAAGCAAACCCCAAAAAGCAGAUCGUAGUUCGGAUUGCAGGCUGCAACUCGCCUGCAUGAAGUCGGAAUCGCUAGUAAUCGCAGGUCAGCAUACUGCGGUGAAUACGUUCCCGGGCCUUGUACACACCGCCCGUCACACCACGAAAGUUGACAACACCCGAAGCCGGUGGUCUAACUUCGGAAGAAGCCGUCGAAGGUGGGGUUGAUGAUUGGGGUGAAGUCGUAACAAGGUAGCCGUAUCGGAAGGUGCGGCUGGAUCACCUCCUUUCU
rnacentral:rRNA from 1 species